rnacentral:tRNA from 1 species
GGAAAGAUGGCGGAAUUGGUAGACGCAAUGAGGGUUAUAAGUUGAAACGCCCGUGACGUGUGAAUAGUAUCCUAAUAGCACGCAACUUCAGGUUCGAAUCCUGCUCUUUCCA